rnacentral:rRNA from 1 species
UACGUAGGGUGCGAGCGUUGUCCGGAAUUAUUGGGCGUAAAGGGCGCGUAGGCGGCCUGUUAAGUCGAACGUGAAAUCCCCGGGCUCAACCCGGGAACUGCGUCCGAUACUGGCAGGCUUGAAUCCGGGAGAGGGAUGCGGAAUUCCAGGUGUAGCGGUGAAAUGCGUAGAUAUCUGGAGGAACACCGGUGGCGAAGGCGGCAUCCUGGACCGGCAUUGACGCUGAGGCGCGAAAGCCAGGGGAGCAAACGGG